rnacentral:misc_RNA from 1 species
CUCUACACGCAGCACUUCCCGAGGCAAUUCGCUAAGGCAUCGUUGCUAUAUCGCCAGCCGAGGCCGGUCGGUCACCCAUGGCCGAAUUAGAACAAAACUCAAGACGGAAUCGCUAUCUUCCAGCGGAAUAUUUCGCGAUGGAGGUUACCAAGGCUUUGUCCCUUCCAGCGAACAUCUUUGACUGCUUCGCGAUUGUUCGAUUGAUGUGCCGAACCCCCUCUGCAGAUAUGGAC